rnacentral:rRNA from 1 species
UGGUUGAUCCUGCCAGUAGUGUAUGCUUCUCCUAAAGACUAAGCCAUGCAUGCCUUCGAAUACGAGGAAGCAAUUCUCUCUGAAUCUGCGAACGGCUCCGCAAACCAGUUGUAAACUAUAGCAAGCAAUCCGGGGGGUCGCCGUUAAAAAGCGGCCCUCCGGUAAUAAGGAUAACCAUGGUAAUUCUGAGGCUAAUACAAGAACGUAACCCCCGGACGACCCGCGAGGGAAAGCCGGGAGACGUACGAGUUUUACGCGAGGAGUUAUCGGGAAAGAACGUACGUCUGGACCGCGCCAAAGACGGAUGGAUCCCAUCAACCCUCACGGGUCGGGGUUCGCCCGAGCGGCUCUUGCAAUGCGCUUCUGACCUAUCAACUAGAUGGCAGCGUAAGGGACAUGCUAUGGUGACAACGGGUACAGAGGAUUAGGGUUCGAUCCUGGAGAGUGGGCCUGAGAGAUUGCUCAUACUUCUAAGGAAGGCAGCAGGCGCGCAACGUUCCCCUUGGGCAAUGCUUGAGGGCGUUAGGGGACAUAUGAAUGCCUGCCUUAUAGGUGGGCAAUUCAAAUGGGUCUGUUGUAAACAGGCUCUCGAGUAACAAUUAGAGGACAAGUCUGGUGCCAGCACCCGCGGUAAUUCCAGCUCUAAUAGCAUACGUUAAAGUUGUUGCGGUUAAAACGCUCGUAGUCGGCUCAAGGUCAUCAGAUUCGGCAGGGAGGGGCUCGGGACUUGCUGCCUUUCGGGGCGCGCCGGGUCAAUCCCAGCCGUUGGCGGUGGCCAAGUGCGCUCUCGGCCGUCCCUUCACCGGGUCACAGGGCUCCUCCCCCUCACGGGGGGGGCUGUCCGGCAGGGAGUGCCACUCACCAUGACCAAACUGGGUUGAUCAAACAAGGUCGCUCGAUCUUGCACAGCACAGCAUGGCAUGAAUCUAGCCGGUUCGAUCCUCUCGCGGGGGUCGGGCUGGCAGAAGCGAUAGGGGUGUUCGAGGGUGACCGAAUUGCCGGGCGAGUGGUGAAAUACGUUGACCCUGGCAAGUCGACCAAAGGCGAAAGCAGUCAUCAAGGGCACGCCCGUUGAUCAAGAGCGAAAGUUAAGGG